GAUGAACGCUGGCGGCGUGCUUAACACAUGCAAGUCGAGCGAGAAGUCUUUAAAAGAUUCUUCGGAUGAAAUGGAAAAUGGGAAGCGGCGGAGGGGGUAGUAACGCGUAGGCAACCUGCCCCAUUCAAAGGGAUAGCAUUUGGAAACGAAUGGUAAUACCGUAUCAAACUUAACUAGGGCAUGCUAGGUAGGUCAAGGAUCUAUCGGUAGGGGAUGGGCGUGCUGCUGGUUAGCUAGUUGGUGAGGGAACGGCCAACCAAGCGGACGAUCAGUAGCCGGAGUGGGAGGGCGGCCGGCUACAUUGGAACUGAGGCACCAGACACCUUCGUACGGCAGGCAGGAGGAGUGAAUAAUGAACAAUGGAGGAAAGCCUGAGGAAGCACCGCCGCGUGAACGAUGACGGCGUUUGGGUAGCAGAGUUCUGUUCUGGGUGAUGAAAACUGACGGUAACGGAGAAGGAAGCCCCGGCUAACUCCGUG
rnacentral:rRNA from 1 species